CCUUUUACGCGGAGAUGAGGAAGCAGGAUGAAAGAACAUGGGUUUGCUGUGACAUUUGUCGGCGGAGGUACCACCACCAAUGUAUACAAAGGCCUCCAGUGGAUCAACAGUACUUGUGACCUGGAUG